rnacentral:rRNA from 1 species
UACGUAGGGGGCUAGCGUUGUCCGGAAUCAUUGGGCGUAAAGAGCGUGUAGGCGGCCCGGUAAGUCCGCUGUAAAAGUCAAAGGCUCAACCUUUGAAUGUCAGUGGAUACUGCCGGGCUAGAGUCCGGAAGAGGCGAGUGGAACUCCUGGUGUAGCGGUGGAAUGCGCAGAUAUCAGGAAGAACACCAACGGCGAAGGCAGCUCGCUGGGACGGUACUGACGCUGAGGAGCGAAAGUGUGGGGAGCGAACAGG